GACGAACGCUGGCGGCGUGCUUAACACAUGCAAGUCGAGCGGUAAGGCCCUUUUGGGGGUACACGAGCGGCGAACGGGUGAGUAACACGUGGGUGACCUGCCCUCAGCUCUGGGAUAAGCCUGGGAAACUGGGUCUAAUACUGGAUAUGACCUUUCCUCGCAUGGGGUUGGGUGGAAAGUUUUUCGGCUGGGGAUGGGCCCGCGGCCUAUCAGCUUGUUGGUGGGGUGAUGGCCUACCAAGGCGACGACGGGUAGCCGGCCUGAGAGGGCGACCGGCCACACUGGGACUGAGACACGGCCCAGACUCCUACGGGAGGCAGCAGUGGGGAAUAUUGCGCAAUGGGCGGAAGCCUGACGCAGCGACGCCGCGUGGGGGUGACGGCCUUCU
rnacentral:rRNA from 1 species